GGUUUAAAUUUGAUUAUAUUCCAUUAGCAUUUUAGACAGUCUAUCCAGCCCCCUUCCUUAUCACUUGUUUAUACUAUGCAUUCCUUAGCUCUGGCAAAGAGGCCAGUCUUACAGAAAGAAAUCUAGUGUCGUCUUUGUUAAUUUGAAAUAACAAAAUGGAGUCUGGUCUGUUCAGAGUGACUCAGAAUAUACACUUUUAGUUUCUAUCAUAGCACAAAAUGUCUG